UACGUAGGGUGCGAGCGUUGUCCGGAAUUAUUGGGCGUAAAGAGCUCGUAGGCGGUUUGUCGCGUCGACUGUGAAAACCUACAGCUUAACUGUGGGCUUGCAGUCGAUACGGGCAGACUUGAGUUCGGUAGGGGAGACUGGAAUUCCUGGUGUAGCGGUGAAAUGCGCAGAUAUCAGGAGGAACACCGGUGGCGAAGGCGGGUCUCUGGGCCUUACCUGACACUGAGGAGCGAAAGCGUGGGGAGCGAACAGG
rnacentral:rRNA from 1 species